GUGGAUUAGAUACCCGGGUAGUCCACGCCGUAAACGAUGCUCACUCGCUGUUUGCGAUACACAGCAAGCGGCCAAGCGAAAGCAUUAAGUGAGCCACCUGGGGAGUACGAUCGCAAGGUUGAAACUCAAAGGAAUUGACGGGGGCCCGCACAAGCGGAGGAACAUGUGGUUUAAUUCGAUGAUACGCGAGGAACCUUACCUGGGCUUAAAUGUAGUUCGACAGAUUGUGAAAGCAGUCCUUCUUCGGACGAAUUACAAGGUGCUGCAUGGUCGUCGACAGCU
rnacentral:rRNA from 1 species